AUUGAACGCUGGCGGCAGGCCUACCACAUGCACGUCGAGCGAGCGGCGGACGGGUGAGUAAUGUAUGGGGACUGCCCGAUAGAGGGGGAUCACUACUGGAAACGGUGGCUAAUACCGCAUACUAUCGGAUAACCCAUAUGGGAUUAGCUAGUCGGUGGGGUAACGUCUCACCUAGGCGACGAUCGCUCGCUGGUCUGAGAGGAUGAUCAGGCACACUGGGCCUGCGACACGGCCCAGACUCCUACGGAGGCAGCAGUGGGUAAUAUUGCACAAUGGGCGCAAGCCUGAUGCAGCCAUGCCGCGUGUAUGAAGAAGGCCUUAGGGUUGUAAAGUACUUUCAGCGGGGAGGCGUUACCCGCAGAAGAAGCACCGGCUAACUCCGGGCCAGCAGCCGCGGUAAUUC
rnacentral:rRNA from 1 species